UUGGCUGCCAAAGCAGAAACAGCAGAAAACAAAACUCAUGUCAAGGAAAUGCCAUAGACACCCUCAAAGUAGAGACCACCCCACACACAAAUCAAACCCUCAGAGCAUUCCCAUCAUCACUCACCAUCCUUCACCUCACUAGACAUCACCCUGCAUAGAAUCACAGAAUUGUAGGACUGGAAAGAACCUCAAGAGGUCAUCUAAUUCAGUCCCCUGCACUCAUGGCAGGACUAAGGGCUUGGCUACACUGGAGAGUUGCAGCACUGUAAACCCACCACCAGCGCUGCAACUUACUCACUGUCCACACUUGCAAGGCACAUACAGCGCUGCAUCUCCCUGGCUGCAGCGCUGGCCGUACUCCUGCUCUGCCUCAGGUAUAACGAUUGCAGCGCUGCUCCACAGGUGUGGCCACCAAAAGCGCUGUAAUUGGCCUCCAGGGUAUUAGGAGGUAUCCCAGAAUACCUGUUCAGCCACUCUGCUCAUCAGUUCGCACUCUACUGCCUUGGCCUCAGGUGAUCUGGCCUUUAAAUGCCCCAGGAAUUUUAAAAAUCCCCUUCCUGUUUGCUCAGCCAGGUGUGGAGUGCAAUCAAUCAGUGACCAUGCCUCCACGCACCAAAUGAGCCCCAGCAUGGAGCAAUGGCGAGUUGCUGGACCUCAUCAGUGUUUGGGGGGAGGAAGCUGUGCAGCCACAGCUGCGCUCCAGCCAUAGGAAUUACGAUACCUAUGGGCAGAUCUCAAGGGCCAUGCUGGAAAGGGACCAUGACCGGGACGCGGUGCAGUGCAGGGUUAAAGUAAAGGAGCUGCGCAGUGCCUAUUGCAGAGCCCGCAAGGGAAACUGCCGCUCAGGUGCUGCCCCCACGACCUGCCGUUUUUACAAGGAGCUGGACACGGUACUUGGGGGUGACCCCACUGCCAAUCCAACAACCUCAAUGGACAGUUCAGAGCGGGGAGAGGAGGGGGGGAGGGGGAGAAACCGAGAGUGAGGGUACUGGGCUGGGGGGAGUCACCCUGGAAUCCCAGGAGGCAUGCAGCCAGGAGCUCUUCUCAAGCCAGGUGGAAGGUAGCCAGUCGCAGCAGCUGGAACUUGUUGGUGAAGAAGAAGCAGAGAAGCGGGUUCCCGUGUCCUUGACUACUACUACUUCUCAACUGGCCGUAUCAGAGACUGCCGAAAGGCUACAGAACCUGAGGAAAAAGCCAUGAAAAAGCAAAAGAUAUGGUGAAAGCAGUUAUGAAUCAGUCUGCCAGAGAGAGUAAGAAGCUGCAGGACUGGAGAGAAAAAAUGCAGCACUGGAGGGAAAGAGAAAGCAGAAGAAAG